ACAGCAGUAGCCGCGGUAAUACGAAGGGGGCUAGCGUUGUUCGGAAUUACUGGGCGUAAAGCGCACGUAGGCGGAUACUUAAGUCAGGGGUGAAAUCCCGGGGCUCAACCCCGGAACUGCCUUUGAUACUGGGUAUCUCGAGUCCGGAAGAGGUGAGUGGAAUUCCGAGUGUAGAGGUGAAAUUCGUAGAUAUUCGGAGGAACACCAGUGGCGAAGGCGGCUCACUGGUCCGGUACUGACGCUGAGGUGCGAAAGCGUGGGGAGCAAACAGGAUUAGAUACCCCCGUAGUCCCUGUCUCUUAUAC
rnacentral:rRNA from 1 species